rnacentral:lncRNA from 1 species
UGAGUUUUAGUACUGGGAGUCACAGUUGAAAAUCAGUCUGUUGGUGCGUGAUGAAGAGGACGAGCCCUCGCUCAUUUUACUUUUCUAUUGGACAUACUUCUUUCCGUAUUAAAUAUUAUAGUUUAAUUACAUUUUAGGGUAUCUGAGGAUUAAAUAGAAACGUAGUUUGACUUGUUUGAACAAAGUUUAGCGGUAGAUUUUUGUAUUCCUUUGUCUGCAUAUUGAAUGAGUGGAUUACUGAAAUCGAUGGCGCCAACUAAACUGACUUUUUGGGAUAUAAAGAAGGAUUUUAUCUAACAAAACGACCAUGCAUGUUGUAGCUGGGACCCUUGGGAUUGCAAACAGAGGAAGAUUUUCAAAAAGUGGACUCCAAUGAAGUUGUAAAAACAUCUCAAGGAUGAUCAAUGGAAACAGGAUGCACCUGAUCUCAAUUUCGAGUCUCAUAGCAAAAGGUUGCGAGUUCAUUAAGUAGUCAUCAGGUGACAUGCUGGGUUCUGAGGUUUUAUCUGUGGUCCCCAGGUGACCGUAGCCAAUUACAGGCAAAACCUUCAUGGCACCUCCAUGGCAUUAUCCAGGCAUGAAGGGAGGCUAGUCAUUACUACACAUAAUGGUCCCCAGGGCUGGAACUUGUUCUGGGCCUCCUGAUA